rnacentral:rRNA from 1 species
AUUGAACGCUGGCGGCAGGCCUAACACAUGCAAGUCGAACGAGUGGCGGACGGGUGAGUAAUGUCUGGGAAACUGCCUGAUGGAGGGGGAUAACUACUGGAAACGGUAGCUAAUACCGCAUACCAUCGGAUGUGCCCAGAUGGGAUUAGCUAGUAGGUUGGGUAAAGGCUCACCUAGGCGAAGAUCCCUCGCUGGUCUGAGAGGAUGACCAGCCACACUGGAACGGAGGCACGGUCCAGACUCCUACGGGAGGCAGCAGUGGGGAAUAUUGCACAAUGGGCGCAAGCCUGAGACAGCCAUGCCGGGUGGAUGAAGAAGGCCGUCGGGUUGUAAAGUACUUUCAGCGGGGAGGCGUUACCCGCAGAAGAAGCACCGGCUAACUUCGUGCCAGCCGCCGCGGUAAUUC